CUUCCAUGAAAGUCUUUGGCCACAAACUGAACAGGCAAAAAGUUUCUUGCCAGUGUGGGUUCUUAUGUGCUUUGUUAGGUUUGCCUUCACAGAGAAUGUUUGACCACAAACUGUGCAGGAAAAAGGUUUCUCGUCAGUGUGUGUUCUUUAAAUAUUCUCUAGUACGGACUCGUGUUUGCGCUGUCCAAUUUGUCCUGAUAACAGAAAUUCCUCAUUUGGGAAAUGAGAAUGGUACAUGUCCUUUAUGAACCUGCAAGUAUGUUGACAAAAUGCACGUGUAACAACACAAUCAAUAAAAUACAAAAAUAUACUGUCCAAAAACUGUUUAUAUAAAAAAACUGCAAUA